rnacentral:lncRNA from 1 species
AUGACCAAAGCACCUUUUAUAUGGGAAAAUAAAGAAGAAGCUAGUAUUGUUUCAAAACUUAGAAUUUCUCACGUACUACAAAGGAAAAAAUGUACAAAACAUGGAGCAAGGAGACAUAAUAUGAGGAGCUAUAAAGAAAAAAGAGCAGCUGAAAAUGAAUGCCAAAGAAUGGUAACAAGAAAAAAAACUUCUAAGAAUUCAAAGGUCAAAAACAAGACAAAUGACGUAUCCAAAAAUCCUUAUGUACUGUGA